rnacentral:piRNA from 1 species
UAAACUAUAAUUAUUUGUUAC